rnacentral:rRNA from 1 species
AUCGAACGCUGGCGGCAGGCCUAAUACAUGCAAGUCGAACGAGUGGCGGACGGGUGAGCAAUGUCGGGGAAACUGCCUGACGGAGGCGGAUAACUACUGGAACCGGUAGCUACUACCGCAUCCCACCGUAUCUGCCCAGAUGGGAUUAGCUAGUAGGUGGGGUAAAGGCUCACCUCGGCGACGCUCCCUAGCUGGUCUGAGAGGGUGACCGGCCACACUGGAACUGAGACACGGUCCAGACUCCUACGGGAGGCAGCAGUGGGGAAUAUUGCACAAUGGGCGCAAGCCUGAUGCAGCCAUGCCGCGUGUAUGAAGAAGGCCUUCGGGUUGUAAAGUACUUUCAGCGGAGAGGCGUUACCCGCAGAAGAAGCACCGGCUAACUCCGUGCCAGCAGCCGCGGUAAUAC